rnacentral:lncRNA from 1 species
AAUUAUUUCCUCGGUAUAAUUUCAUAAUUUAAUUUAUUUCUAAUACAUAAAAUUUUAAUUUUUAUUUGGUAUUAUAUGUACUUUAUGAUUAUAGAGUCAAUAUCCGUUGUAAAAAUUUUUGCAUAUAAAAAUCCAUCUAACAAAAUAUUUUUAGAAAAUCUGAGGAAUAAAUAGUAAGUCUAAGACUACAGAUAUCAGAACUGAGCAUUUUUUAUUAUUUUACUAUGCAAUUUUCAGAUUUAAAAUAUUUGAUACUUUUAUAUUUUUAACACAAAUAUAUUGUAGAACAAGGUCAUCAGACAUUAUGUGUGCUCCAAAAUGAUAUUUAUAAUUGAUCUAACAAAUAUUUUUCUAUAUUUUUUCUAUAAUUGUUUUAUCUAUCCAUUCUAUAUAAUUUAACAUUCUAUUUUUAGUAUUAAUUGUUAUCAAUAAUGCAAUAUAGGCCAAUAUUUAUGUAUUUAAUAUCUGUUUCUAGCAUUGAAACUGAAAUAUUUUGCUCUUAAAUUCUUAUUCUCUUGCUUGUACUCUUGCUCUCUUGUUCCCUUGCUCCUUCUCUCUCUCCCUUUCCCCUCCCCCCUUUCUCCAUGUGGCUAUGGUCAGCCUCUCCCUCCCUACUCUCUCCCUCUCUGCCUUUCUACAAUAAUCGCCUUAAAACUAUGGACUGCCUCUUCUCAUCAGGAUCCGCUGGAGCAAUGGAGCAGGUCUUCCCUUAACCUCCCGUGGGGAGGCCUCCCUGUGUUCCCAAGCCAUGGCUUCCACCAGCCCAAGCCCACCACCGACCAAGACAAGGACUCUCCUCUCCGAGAUAACCUGCCAGAGCUCUCUCCAUGCCUUUUUCCCUUCUUCCCAGGCCUGUAUCUACACAGGUCCCACACACUGUUCUCGGCUUUUCUUCAGCAUGCAGAGCCGUCUGGGAUGUCCAAGAGCGAGAACCUGUCAUCCCUGGCCUCCAUGCAGGUCCAUGGACGCUGAACCAUUCCAGCAGGUCUUCAGGGAUCUCAGACUGUGCCUCCCCCACCCCGGGUACUGUGGCUUCUCAUCGCACUACAUCUGUCUGGCAGCGACAUGGGUGUGCACCCAGUCAAAGCUUCCCCUGUCCUGCCUUGCCCAAUGGCCCUAGUCCAGAGCAGACGCUGGACCCCAUUGUUGACCCACAGAGAAGGAUCUGUGAGGUGCUGAGAAGACCCAAGGAGUUAAAAUAAUUCAGAUAUUUCCUCCUGGGCACAGGGAAUGGCAACCCCAGUAAAUAAAGCUUUGUUCCUUCCAAGAAGAGUCUCCUGAAUAAUUUCUCUAAUCACUGGCUGCCAUAGGCAGCAGCCCUCACUGCUAUCAGGAGAAAUGCACAUCAGUGGUUCUGAGUUCUCACACCAGUUGGCUGCUUACCUCGGUUUACCCACUUCGGGGAUGCCAAAGCUGGUCAUUGACACAGGUAGGGUUUUCUUUCAUUACCUUUGAAGCUUGGAAUCCACGACCAUUAUACUAACAGCAGUGCCUGAAUGAGCUCCUUUGCUAACCUCCCCCUUAGUCUGGAGAUGAGAUGACUUCCCUACCAUUAUGUGUCUUGCAUUAAGGAGACACAGAAGUUGAUCUUUGCUUUUUCUAUUGAGUGUGAUCAAAGUUACCUUGAGGUAAUGAAAAUGGAAGAAUGGCAGACACAUCAAAGCCCACCUAAGAAUAAUACCUACUUCAAAGUAAGGACUGAUUUUUAAUCAUGCAGUCAUAUUGUCUAAACAGUUUUGUAGGCAAGAGGAAAGAAUGGGUGUUCAACUGUGCCUAUGGAGUAUGUGGAGUGUGUGCAGAAGCAAAGCACUGAGGUAGGGUAUAUAACUGACUCUAUUGAUGCAUACUGCAUGGAGCAGCUCAAGGACUGAACUAUGAUGGACAUCACCAGUACAUGGUUAAAUAAGAAGGGUCUGACCCUAUCAGAGAGUGAGGAAGAUGAUAAGAAAAUGGAUCAGAGCAAGGCAAUGUGUCAGAAUGUCUGCAAUCUCAUGAAGGAAAGUUUGGAGAUGAGAGUUGAGGUGGUGUGUUUGUGUUUAAGAUUGUCCCAUGGAAAUUUACAUUGCUAUAUAGCUAGCAUUGUCAGGCAGUAUAGAAACUAGCCUGCCAAAGCAAUAAUAGGCUACUGUUUCUGAAGGACUGAACAGAUAUUUACACUAGUCUCAGGAAGAAGUACUAUUUUCAUAUUUUUUCAUAUACUCCAUAACAGUGAUUAUCCUAGCUUCUAUGCAUGCAUAAGAAAGGCCUUACUGUCUUACUCAGGUUAUUUGUGAAUCCGUGGAUGCAGGCCACCAUCCUGGAAAGUCAGUGUCUACGGUAGCUGAGGUUAGUCAUCUUCCACUCUCAAAAACCAUAAUUAAUUAAAAAUAAAAAUUUUGGAAUUGCUAUGCAUGUUUACACAACACUUCCUUGGCAGCCAAGAGUCUAACUACAUCCUGCAAGACUAUAUCAACAAACAAACAAACAAACAAAACCCUUUUGAUUGUCCACAAAUGAGAAUCUCUACUAGACUUGUGUCUCCGCUGAUACAUUGUGAUAAGGUCCUAUAACUGGACAGCCAAUAUGAAGCAGUUCAUGAAGGACAAGGCACUUUAGGACAUAUGUACAGUUUAGUACAUGAUGGUCAAAAACAAAAACAAAACAACAACAACAAAAAAAAAAAAAAAAACAAAUAGAGGCCAAUCAUGCCCAUCCUUUUGUGAGGAUUUUGCAGCAGAGGUUUAGGUGGACAAAAAUGGAAAAACUGUCACGGACCUUGUGCUGCUGUUGUUUGAACCUCUUUUGGUCUCCUCUGCAUUUUCCCUUGACCAUCCCCAGAUCCACAUCGCUGGAAUCUACUGCAUAAUCUACUGAGCCUGAGUAUGUUAGAAGGCUGAUUGGCUACAGGUGUCGAGUUGUGAAAGUACCUGGGCCCUUGGCCAGACUUAAAACUAUCUGACUCUGAACACUUGUUUUGUGCAUUGAUACAGAUAAAGUAGCAGCUCAGAGGUCCAGUGCUGCUGUUCCUGAUAACAGCUCCUAGCUGAGGGUGAUAGGGCACCUCUAACAUGGAAGAAGUAGAUUAGAUACUUCAUUGGAAAGUCCUGUGUAGAGUUUCACUGUGGCUCCCUGAGCAGGCUUGAUGACUUUCCUCACUGUUUCUAUGUUCAUAUCUAAAAUAUCUCUUCUAUCCUCUCCUUCAUGCCUUAAGGCAAUAAAAUCACCUCCC